GCCUUACACAUGCAAGUCGAACGGCGAGCGGGGAGGCUUGCUCCUGCGGCGAGUGGCGAACGGGUGAGUAAUGCAUCGGAACGUGUCCUGUCGUGGGGGAGUAACUGGCCGAAAGGUCAGCUAAUACCGCAUGAGACCCGAGGGUGAAAGCGGGGGAUCGCAAGACCUCGCGCGACUGGAGCGGCCGAUGUCUGAUUAGCUAGUUGGUGGGGCAACGGCCUACCAAGGCGACGAUCAGUAGCCGGUCUGAGAGGAUGAACGGCCACAUUGGAACUGAAACACGGUCCAGACUCCUACGGGAGGCAGCAGUGGGGAAUAUUGCGCAAUGGGCGAAAGCCUGACGCAGCGACGCCGCGUGAGGGAUGAAGGUCUUCGGAUCGUAAACCUCUGUCAGAAGGGAAGAAACUAGGGUGCUCUAAUCAUCAUCCUACUGACGGUACCUUCAAAGGAAGCACCGGCUAACUCCGUG
rnacentral:rRNA from 1 species